rnacentral:rRNA from 1 species
UGGGGAAUUUUGGACAAUGGGGGCAACCCUGAUCCAGCCAUUCCGCGUGAGUGAAGAAGGCCUUCGGGUUGUAAAGCUCUUUUGUCCGGAACGAAACGGUUGUGGUGAAUAUCCACGACUACUGACGGUACCGGAAGAAUAAGCACCGGCUAACUACGUGCCAGCAGCCGCGGUAAUACGCAGGGUGCGAGCGUUAAUCGGAAUUACUGGGCGUAAAGCGUGCGCAGGCGGUUUUGUAAGCCAGAUGUGAAAUCCCCGGGCUUAACCUGGGAAUGGCAUUUGGGACUGCAAGGCUCGAGUAUGGCAGAGGGGACUAGAAUUCCUGGUGUAGCAGUGAAAUGCGUAGAUAUCAGGAGGAAUACCGAUGGCGAAGGCAGGUCCCUGGGUUAAUACUGACGCUCAGGCACGAAAGCGUGGGGAGCAAACAG